GGGUGGGGUGCUACAUGUUUGAUAUUAGAGCCUAGGUUUAUGAUCAUUUGAGAUUAUGAUUUAAAUGGUAUAAGAACUUGAGUUAUAAUUACUUGAGAUUAUGGUACAAAUAAUAUUAAAAAGUAGUGAUUCAAUUAUAAGUAUUUCUUUAAAAUCUAAAAGAUGAUAUAUCUUGAGCGUAAGUAGGAUGGUUAUCAAAAAUU
rnacentral:lncRNA from 1 species